CAGGACGGUGGCCAUGGAAGUCGGAAGCCGCUAAGGAGUGUGUAACAACUCACCUGCCGAAGCAACUAGCCCUGAAAAUGGAUGGCGCUAAAGCUCCGUGCCUAUACCCGGCCGCCGGAAGGCAUAGGCGUGAACCGCUUCGGCGGCGAGCGCGCGAAGCCCCGGCGAGUAGGAGGGCGUGGCGGUGAGCGCGGAAGGGUCUGGGCGUGAGCCUGCCUGGAGCCGCCGCCAGUGCAGAUCUUGGUGGUAGUAGCAAAUACUCAAGCGAGGGCCUUGAGGGCUGAUGUGGAGAAGGGUUUCGUGUGAACAGCCGUUGCACACGAGUCAGUCGAUCCUAAGCCCUAGGAGAAAUCCGAUGUCGAUGUGGGGGGUUAGCAAUAGCCUCCCCUCGUCGGGCGAAAGGGAAUCCGGUUCCUAUUCCGGAACCCGGCAGCGGAACCGAAUUUACGGGCCCUCAUCUGAGAAGCUCGUCGGGGUAACCCAAAGGGACCCGGAGACGCCGUCGGGAGACCCGGGCAGAGUUUUCUGUUCUGCAUAAGCGUUCGAGUUCCCUGGAAUCCUCUAGCAGGGAGAUAGGGUUUGGAACGCGAAGAGCACCGCAGUUGCGGCGGUGUCCGGGUCGUCCCCUCGGACCUUGAAAAUCCGGGAGAGGGUCACGCGGAGGUGUCGCGCCGGCUCGUACCCAUAUCCGCAGCAGGUCUCCAAGGUGAAGAGCCU
rnacentral:rRNA from 1 species